AAAAUCCAAAUUAACCAAACUGAUUAAUCCGAAGACGAACAUAUAAACUGAUCCAAUCCGAACGUCAAAAAACUGACCCAAUCCAAACUUAUUUAAAUGUAAUCUCUUGAAUUUGAAGACCCAAAAUCCAAUCUGAUGACCCACCCCUAAUAAGAAAGGCUAUCUGAUGCCCAGUAAUCUAAAACCUAAAUAGAAGUCUAGAAUAAUCUAAGCAUUAAUGUUUUUACUCUUUUAGGGAAAAU
rnacentral:misc_RNA from 1 species